rnacentral:rRNA from 1 species
CGUGUAGGCGGGAAAGAAAGUCAGGAGUGAAAUCCCACGGCUUAACUGUGGAGCUGCUUCUGAAACUUCUUUUCUUGAGUGUCGGAGAGGAAAGUGGAAUUCCAAGUGUAGCGGUGAAAUGCGUAGAGAUUUGGAGGAACACCAGUGGCGAAGGCGGCUUUCUGGACGAUAACUGACGCUGAGGCGCGAAAGCGUGGGGAGCAAACAGGAUUAGAUACCCUGGUAGUCCACGCUGUAAACGAUGGAUACUAGGUGUAGGAGGUAUCGACCCCUUCUGUGCCGCAGUUAACACAAUAAGUAUCCCACCUGGGGAGUACGGCCGCAAGGUUGAA